ensembl:lncRNA
CUCUCUCUCUCUCUCUCUGUCGUGAAGAGGCACCGAUCCGUCCGCAGCAUUUCGAGUGCUGCAAUCUCAUCUCCAUCAAACGAAGGGAGGAGGCAGAAGCGAUUGCAGAGCAGUGUGUCAGCCCCGUCAGUGGAAUUCAGUUAACUUUAACCCUCAUCUACAGGUAGGAGCAAAAUGCAUCAUUCCAUCAGUCUACUUAUUCAAACACUUUGUGCAUGUACUAUCACUACGGGAGCUAGGACAUUUUUGACUAAUCAAAUAUUUUGUCAAAUAGUAUACAGUAUAUCAUCUGUUUAAGAUACCAUCUAAGUACAUUUUUAGGAAACAUCUCAUUUAAAUGACCUCGGUUAAAGGGGUUUCCCUCGCUGUCCUGUUGGAGAUAAAACAAUUUGACAUCACAACCCAGUGGUGAUGCGUGAUAAUUGGUGCAUAGUAAUAUUACUAUUUGUACACCAUGACAUUUCUUUCCAAAGUUUACAUAAACCACUUAGUCAAUAGUGUCGAAGUUAGAAACAACACAAAUCAGUACAAAUACUGAAGCACAUGAGAUUUGAUAAAGUAACAGUAGUUGUUCAUUGUGGUCCAUUAUUUUCAUCAUGCAAACUCAGGAGCGCAAGGCCCUCAUUAAGAGCCAUUUUAAGUACAGGGACCACCCUUUCUCUGCAAAUAAUUAGAUUUAUUUUAGACCACCAUGCUGACCAAAAUAGCCCAAAGUGAGCGCUUCACAAUAUGUCUCUGAAGGAGGAGGACUGCAGGGAAGGGCGUCAGGCACGUUGCUUGUUUCCCUAACAUGUAACCUUGCCAAGAGCAACAUUAAGUUAAAUACACCAUAUAGUAGAUACAUAUACUGUAAAUGACUGUAUAUUUUACUUGAGUCCUAAAAUCUCUAAGUUGCUUAAAGCUCACAGUGUUAUUUUGCGCCUUGUCCUCUUUGUCCUGUCUGUGAACAGAUGAUGUGUUUUUCAGCAGUGGCUGUGCACAAACUGGCUUUGAAAAAAAAAAAAAAACGUCUACACUGCAAUCAAUACGAGUGAAUGAGUCCCUGUUGAUAAGUAUUAG